UACGUAGGGGGCUAGCGUUGUCCGGAAUCAUUGGGCGUAAAGCGCGUGUAGGCGGCCUUGUAAGUCCGUUCUGAAAGCCCGGGGCUCAACCCCGGGAGGCGGAUGGAUACUGCAAGGCCCGAGUCCGGAAGAGGCAAGUGGAAUUCCCGGUGUAGCGGUGAAAUGCGCAGAUAUCGGGAGGAACACCAAUGGCGAAGGCAGCUUGCUGGGACGGUACUGACGCUGAGACGCGAAAGCGUGGGGAGCAAACAGG
rnacentral:rRNA from 1 species